GAAUAGGCUCGGACUUUCUUUGCUGGUUCUGCUCUCGAGGUAUGAUAAGAGGGCGGCCGGGGGCGUUAGUAUUCGGUGUUAGAGGUGAAAUUCUUGGAUCCCGUAAGACUCACGGUUGCGAAAGCGUUCGCCAAGAACGUUUUCAUUGAUCAAGACGAAAGUCAGAGGUUCGAAGCGAUCAGAUCCGUCGUAGUUCUGACCAUAAACGAUGCCAGCUAGGGAUCGGCGGGCGUUGUUUUUAGUGACUCCGCCGGCACCUUCCGGGAAACCAAAGCUUUUGGGUUCCGGGGGAAGUAUGGUUGCAAAGCUGAAACUUAAAGGAAUUGACGGAAGGGCACCACCAGGAGUGGAGCCUGCGGCUUAAUUUGACUCAACACGGGAAAACUCACCCGGCCCGGACACNGUAAGGAUUGACAGAUGAGAGCUCUUUCUUGAUUCGGUGGGUGGUGGUGCAUGCCGUUCUUAGNUGGNGGAGCGAUUUGUCUGGUUAAUUCCGNUAACGAACGAGA
rnacentral:rRNA from 1 species